UCUGCAGGGGACAUUUGUAUGUGGUCUUUUGAGCCCACCAGCUUGUUGCAAAAGAAAGCAUGUUAUGGAUUUUCUUCAGGAUAUUUGUGAGACUGUGCAUGAGAUUUGCUUGAAAUGCAUAGUCCCCCUCUCUCUGAGGAGGGAAGGAGCUGGAAUUGGAAGAAUCUUAGUUUUAUAACUCAGCAGCAGCCAGGAUUGAUUGUCCGUUGAGGGAAUUCCUUCCGGUUAGAUGAUGCUGUCUGUGCUUGCCUAACUGCUCUGAUUAGACCACGGCUUGACUAUCAUUACGUCAUACAAACGGAAGAUGUUGAUAAGAAUAUAAUGACCAUUCCAGAGCCAUGAAAUGGAUUAAUCACAUAAAAGGUUUACAUUGUAACAGAAGACUGGUCAUGCGGAAUCAUUUCUAACAAGUGGAAUAAAUUCUGUGAAUGAAUACAGACUGUAAUGGCAGGAUAUUGUGGGAGCAUGCGACUUUAAAAAUGGGACUAAAUCUUCAGAAAGACUGUGACCGUAAAGUGCUAUAUUCCUGCUUCUGGAAGUUUCAUGUGCACAUUGCUACUGGAGCCAAAGUCCAAGUUUAUUUGAGGCCAUCCCAAUAAAAUGAUAAUUUAAUUUUACUAAUGCUCGAUGUUCCCGAAAAAGGU